GAUGAACGCUGGCGGCGUGCCUAAUACAUGCAAGUCGAGCGAAUGGAUUAAGAGCUUGCUCUUAUGAAGUUAGCGGCGGACGGGUGAGUAACACGUGGGUAACCUGCCCAUAAGACUGGGAUAACUCCGGGAAACCGGGGCUAAUACCGGAUAACAUUUUGAACCGCAUGGUUCGAAAUUGAAAGGCGGCUUCGGCUGUCACUUAUGGAUGGACCCGCGUCGCAUUAGCUAGUUGGUGAGGUAACGGCUCACCAAGACAACGAUGCGUAGCCGACCUGAGAGGGUGAUCGGCCACACUGGGACUGAGGCACGUCCCAGACUCCUACGGGAGGCAGCAGUAGGGAAUCUUCCGCAAUGGACGAAAGUCUGACGGAGCAACGCCGCGUGAGUGAUGAAGGCUUUCGGGUCGUAAAACUCUGUUGUUAGGGAAGAACAAGUGCUAGUUGAAUAAGCUGGCACCUUGACGGUACCUAACCAGAAAGCCACGGCUAACUACGUGCCAGCCGCCGCCGUAA
rnacentral:rRNA from 1 species